rnacentral:rRNA from 1 species
ACGGGAGGCAGCAGCUAAGAAUAUUCCGCAAUGGACGAAAGUCUGACGGAGCGACGCCGCGUGGAUGAUGAAGGCCGGAAGGUUGUAAAAUCCUUUUAUAACUGAGGAAUAAGUAAGGUGAGAGAAACGCCUUAUGGUGACUGUAGGUUAUGAAUAAGCAACGGCUAAUUACGUGCCAGCAGCCGCGGUAACACGUAAGUUGCGAGCGUUGUUCGGAAUUAUUGGGCGUAAAGGGCAUGUAGGCGGUUUUGCAAGCUUGGUGUGAAAUCCCGGAGCUUAACUCCGGAAUUGCGUUGAGAACUGCAUAACUAGAGUCACUGAGGGGCAAUCAGAAUUCCAGGUGUAGGGGUGAAAUCUGUAGAUAUCUGGAAGAAUACCAAUGGCGAAGGCAGGUUACCAGCAGAUGACUGACGUUGAGGCUCGAAAGCGUGGGGAGCAAACAGGAUUAGAUACCCAGGUA